rnacentral:rRNA from 1 species
GUAGGUGGCAAGCGUUGUCCGGAAUUAUUGGGGCGUAAAGCGCGCGCAGGCGGUUCUUUAAGUCUGAUGUGAAAGCCCACAGCUCAACCGUGGAGGGUCAUUGGAAACUGGAGAACUUGAGUACAGAAGAGGAAAGCGGAAUUCCACGUGUAGCGGUGAAAUGCGUAGAGAUGUGGAGGAACACCAGUGGCGAAGGCGGCUUUCUGGUCUGUAACUGACGCUGAGGCGCGAAAGCGUGGGGAGCAAACAGGAUUAGAUACCCUGGUAGUCCACGCCGUAAACGAUGAGUGCUAAGUGUUAGGGGGUUUCCGCCCCUUAGUGCUGCAGCUAACGCAUUAAGCACUCCGCCUGGGGAGUACGGCCGCAAGGCUG